UACGGAGGGUGCAAGCGUUAUCCGGAUUUAUUGGGUUUAAAGGGUCCGUAGGCGGAUCUGUAAGUCAGUGGUGAAAUCUCACAGCUUAACUGUGAAACUGCCAUUGAUACUGCAGGUCUUGAGUGUUAUUGAAGUAGCUGGAAUAAGUAGUGUAGCGGUGAAAUGCAUAGAUAUUACUUAGAACACCAAUUGCGAAGGCAGGUUACUAAGCAACAACUGACGCUGAUGGACGAAAGCGUGGGGAUCAAACAGG
rnacentral:rRNA from 1 species